CUGCUAUUUUUAUCUGAACAGUUGUUGGGCUUUGUGUCUUUUUUUCAGCAUUAUGUAACCAUAGAGAACACUCACAGCACUCCUGUAAACUGAGAAAACUGCUUGACGAGACAGUAUCUACCUCACAAGUAAACCAGCAGGGGCUUUACAAAGUAAAAAGCUAGUAACUACAGUGGAAAAAGCAGAUAAAGCUACCAGGGGAAAAAGAGGAAAGAUGACAGGAAAAAGAGGUGGAGAAAGGAUGAAAAGUACAUUUUAUAAGUAGAUACAGAAGAUUAAAGAAAAACUGAAGAAUUGAUAAGCACAGUCACGGCGGUGAAUUUGAGGACAUGCCAGAUUUUGAUAACAGGUUGCUCUCACCAGCUGCAGGGAUUACUGGUGGAAAAUGAAAAUGGAAGCGGUAACCAAGAAAUUCAAUGGAAAUAGAAGUGGGAACCAGAGAGUAAAAGGAAAAGGAAAAGCAGACUGAUGCCAAAAGGAUAUAUUUGUACUAAAUUGCCUGGAUAUGAUUUUGUUGUUCUCUAAAAAUGAGUAAAAAUUAAAAAUACAGAAAAAUGAGAGAGAAACUUCAAUAUGUAUGUCAGAUGAAAAAGGAAGAUGUUAAGACAAACAAGCAUUUUUUUUUUUAUAGUGGAGUACCGUCAUUUUUUUUUUUUUACUACCAUUUCCUAAUUCAAUAAAUGUAUAUCAAUUUGUUCUUAAUUCAUGCGUCUGUGUUUUUUUCCUCCUCCAAUUCCCUCCCAGUGGAAAUUUUUUUUUAUCCAGCUAUUUGAGUGUUCCUGAUGGUUUACCCCAUGGUCUUUUGUGACUAAAAAUAUUAUCCUUUUCCUUUCUGUUAACAUUCAUCCUCACCAAAAUCAAAGGCAUUGUCCAGGACUUUCCAUAAGACAUCUGGCUUCUAAUCAUGAGGUCUUUUUUUAUACAUUUCUUUUUGUGUUUUAUAAACUUGCAGAACUAGAUCUUCCUUUACAUUCUUGUACAAUUUUCAUAAUUUGCUCUAACAGGCUUAUUGCCAUGCAUGUCCUGCUUCUGUCACACUUGGCAUGAUUCCCCAAUAAUUUAUUUGUGGUAAAGGAGAACCAGAUUAGAUCAGCAUUAUCUUUAAUUAAAGUUAUUGUUACAGAGUUAGCUCACUCGGGACUUUAUUUUUUAAUGUCUCCAGAAUCAGUGUUGAGUUCUAUGUACUAUGUUGCCCAUGCUAUUGCAAUAAGAAUUGUAUUGAUGUUGCACACUUGAAAAAUAAAACUUAUUA